CCUACGGGAGGCUGCAGUGAGGAAUAUUGGUCAAUGGACGAGAGUCUGAACCAGCCAAGUAGCGUGAAGGAUGACUGCCCUAUGGGUUGUAAACUUCUUUUAUAUGGGAAUAAAAUGUUCCACGUGUGGGAUUUUGUCUGUACCAUAUGAAUAAGGAUCGGCUAACUCCGUGCCAGCAGCCGCGGUAAUACGGAGGAUCCGAGCGUUAUCCGGAUUUAUUGGGUUUAAAGGGAGCGUAGGUGGAUUGUUAAGUCAGUUGUGAAAGUUUGCGGCUCAACCGUAAAAUUGCAGUUGAAACUGGCAGUCUUGAGUACAGUAGAGGUGGGCGGAAGUCGUGGUGUAGCGGUGAAAUGCUUAGAUAUCACGAAGAACUCCGAUUGCGAAGGCAGUUCACUGGACUGCAACUGACACUGAGGCUCGAAAGUGUGGGUAUCAAACAGGAUUAGAUACCCCAGUAGUC
rnacentral:rRNA from 1 species